AAAAAAAGGAAGAUGUACUUCGUAUAUAUAAUGAUUUAAAUGCAUAUAUAAACGAUAAUAUAAAAGAUUUAGGAGAAGAAAACGGAGAAUAUGAUGCAAACGAAUAUUCAAAAAAAAUUGAUACAGCAUUGGAAAAAGCCAAGAGUGCAAUUGAUGAAGUCAAAACGUUGUCAAAUAAAUUUAAAAAUUUUGGAAACAUGUCUGACAGCACACAUAAUUAUAAGAGUUUAUAUAAUAUCGAUUACGCAAAUAUUUCAGAUACUAAACUAAAUGAAGCAUUUUUAUCGGAUAAGAAAUUAUUUGAAAAAAUUACAUCGGAAAAACUUACUGAAAAGAUAAUCGAAAAAGUAAAUAAUAUUAUAACGUAUGCUAAAAAAGCAAAAGGCAAUGAAAAUGAAGCUAUAAAAAAAAAAGAAACUGCAAUUAACUACAUUAACAAGAGUGGGGUCGUAGAUUUACUUGAAGAUAUACAAGUUGUAAAAAAUGCAGAAUAUGAAAUUACUGAUUAUGCAAAUGAAGCCAAAGAUAUAUAUAAAAAAGCCAAUGAAGCAUAUCAAUCAGUUUUAGCUAUAGAUAAAAAUGUUGCUGAUAUAUCUAAAAAUUCUACAUUAGCAUCAAAAAUCGUAAAACAAUUUAUUGAUGCAACUGAAAAUGCAAGGAGAAUUUUUAAUUAUACGAUAAAAGCUGAAAAUAAUAUAAAGGAAGCUAUUAACGAAAUUAAAGAAGUAAUACAAAUUAUAAUAGCUGCAAAGGAAGCAGUAACUGAAGCAAAUAACGCCAAGAAUAUAUCUGAAACAGCAAAAAAAACUUCCAUUUUAAAAGAUGCGACCAACGCAGCAGCAAUAACUACAAUAAAGGUACAUAAAGCAAAUGUAGCAUUAGAAACAACAGAAAAACAUGUUAAACAAUUAGAUUUAUUGUUAGUAAAAAAAAAAGGAAACGGAGAAACACGUGAAAAAUAUACUAAAAAAUAUAUAUUAAUCGCUAAAGAUGCCGCUGAUAAUGCAAAAAAAGCAUCUGAAGAGGCUAAAAUAGCAGUUAAUAAAUUAAAAAUAGAAAUAAUUAAAACUGUUACUAACAAAAUAGUUAUAGCAGCACAAAAUGCUACAAAAUCAGCUAAUGCGGCAAAAAAAGCUGACACUAUAGAAGAGGCAGAAAAAGAAGCUACUAAAACUAAUCAACAUGAAAAUGAUGCUAUAAAAGCAUUAAAAGAAGUUAAAGAUGUAGGUAAAAAUUUUAAAGAUGCUGAAACAUAUAUUAAGAUAUCUGAAGACGCAGUUACUGAAGCAAAAUUAGCAAAUACUGAAGCAAAUGCUGCAGUUAACAAAAUUAAAAUUAUAAACAUAGCAAAGAAUUAUGUAAAAAAAGCAGAUGAAGCAGCUAAUAAAGCUGAAAAUAUUGCUAAUGAGGCAAAAAAAGCUGUUACUGUAAAAGAUGUGAUAGAUGCCACUAUUAAAUGUAAAGCAUAUAUACAAGAUGCUGAAAAAGCGUUACAAGAUGCUGAAGAUGUUAGUAAAAAUAUAAUAGAUGUUAUGGAUUAUAUAAAUGACGGAAAAGAAGCAGUUGGUAAAGCAAAAAAUGCAUUGUCCAACAUGAAAAAAACAAUUGAUACAAUAGUAGCAGUAAAAAACACUGAAUCUAGUACUUUAAAAGUACAAAUUGCAGCACAAAAAGCAGAGGACGCAGCUAAUACAGCAAAAAGUGCAAAAACGUUAGAAGAAGCGGUAAAUGCUGCUUAUUUAGCUAAAAAGUAUGAAACAGAAGCUAAUACAGCAUUACACGAAGCGAUAAAGCACAGUUUUAAUGUAGAUAAAGCGAAAGUAUAUAUUAAAACAGCUG
rnacentral:lncRNA from 1 species